GUAAACCUACAUACGCCAUCAACUCCUCCAACAGCCAAGGCCGUUUCUGACCACAAGGGGGCGCCCGCAUCAUGCUUUAAUAUAACACAUGGCACAUAUGUGUGCACAUGCAUCUGGAAGCCAGAACUCAAUGGGCUCCUUCAUUGCUCUCUUCUGAGUAUUAAAAAAAACUCUGUCAUGGAACCAGUGUAAAACUGCCUAAAACAAGCCCCUGGAAUCCACACGUCUCUGCUUCCCCAGCCCUGGAAUCACAGGAGAACACCACUGCAGCCAGCUGGUUAGAGGUAUACACUGUUGCUAUCUAGAAUCAGAAGCUGUGGCAUACUGCAACUGUUUCCAUAGUUCCUGGAGGCUACUUUGUAUCCAUCUAGUUCAUCAAACCCUCAGCUCCUGCUUCACCGUAAGCUGCAUACUCAGUGGAAUUCAAGACCCAGGAUCAGAUGCAAAGAAGUAGCAGGGACCAUUCAGCCAGCCCCGUAUUGAGAAGUCAGCUCUCUACAGGGAAUGUCAGGUAGGCCAGGAACUGUACCUGAGUGUGGGNGAGUGAGGUGAUGCAGGGAUGAUCCUCUAGAACCAAACCACAGUAAGCAG